rnacentral:rRNA from 1 species
AUUGAACGCUGGCGGCAGGCCUAACACAUGCAAGUCGAACGAGUGGCGGACGGGUGAGUAAUGUCUGGGAAACAGCCCGAUGGAGGGGGAUAACUACGGGAAACGGUAGCUACUACCGCAUACCAUCGGAUGUGCCCAGAUGGGAGUAGCUUGUAGGUGAGGUAACGGCUCACCUAGGCGACGAUCCCUAGCUGGUCUGAGAGGAUGACCAGCCACACUGGAACUGAAACACGGUCCAGACUCCUACGGGAGGCAGCAGUGGGGAAUAUUGGACAAUGGGCGAAAGCCUGAUCCAGCCAUGCCGCGUGUGUGAAGAAGGUCUUCGGAUUGUAAAGCACUGUAAGUGGGGAGGCGUUACCAACAGAAGAAGCACCGGCUAACUUCGUGCCAGCCGCCGCGGUAAUAC